rnacentral:sRNA from 1 species
ACUUUAGAAGAAAUAAC